rnacentral:rRNA from 1 species
UGGCUCAGAACGAACGCUGGCGGCGCGCUUAACACAUGCAAGUCGCACGAGAAAGCGGGCUUCGGUCCGUGAGUAAAGUUGGCGCACGGGUGAGUAACACGUGGGUAAUCUGCCUUGGAGAUUGGGACAACCUGCCGAAAGGCGGGCUAAUACCGGAUACGUUCCACCGGGUUGCGGCCUGGUGGAAGAAACGCAGCUCGCAAGGGUUGCGCUCCAAGAUGAGCCUGCGGUCCAUCAGGUAGUUGGUGAGGUAACGGCUCACCAAGCCAAAGACGGAUAGCUGGUCUGAGAGGAUGAUCAGCCACACUGGAACUGAGAUACGGUCCAGACUCCUACGGGAGGCAGCAGUGGGGAAUUUUGGUCAAUGGACGAAAGUCUGAACCAGCGACGCCGCGUGGGUGAUGAAGGCCUUCGGGUUGUAAAGCCCUGUCGGAGGGGACGAAGUCCCGGUGUAACGAACCGGGGUGACGGUACUCUCAAAGGAAGCACCGGCUAACUCUGUGCCAGCAGCCGCGGUAA